UACGUAGGGGGCAAGCGUUGUCCGGAAUCAUUGGGCGUAAAGAGCGUGUAGGCGGCCCGGUAAGUCCGCUGUGAAAGUCAAAGGCUCAACCUUUGAAUGUCAGCGGAUACUGCCGGGCUAGAGUCCGGAAGAGGCGAGUGGAACUCCUGGUGUAGCGGUGGAAUGCGCAGAUAUCAGGAAGAACACCAACGGCGAAGGCAGCUCGCUGGGACGGUACUGACGCUGAGACGCGAAAGCGUGGGGGAGCGAACAGG
rnacentral:rRNA from 1 species